CUUUUUGCGGUCUGGGCUUGCUGUCCCUCCCCAGCCAGGAAGCCCUUACCCCAAAAAGCAU
rnacentral:pre_miRNA from 1 species